UCGGGAAUUUUGGGCAAUGGGCGAAAGCCUGACCCAGCAACGCCGCGUGAAGGAUGAAGUAUUUCGGUAUGUAAACUUCGAAAGAAUAGGAAGAAUAAAUGACGGUACUAUUUAUAAGGUCCGGCUAACUACGUGCCAGCAGCCGCGGUAAUACGUAGGGACCAAGCGUUGUUCGGAUUUACUGGGCGUAAAGGGCGCGUAGGCGGCAAUUCAAGUCAUCUGUGAAAUCUCCGGGCUUAACUCGGAACGGUCAGAUGAUACUGCUUUGCUAGAGUGCAGAAGGGGCAAUCGGAAUUCUUGGUGUAGCGGUGAAAUGCGUAGAUAUGUGGAGGAACACCGAUGGCGAAGGCAGCCCCCUGGGUCAAGAUUGACGCUCAUGCACGAAAGCGUGGGGAGCAAACAGGAUUAGAUACCCGCGUAGUCCCUGAGCGGGCUGGCAAGGCGCAU
rnacentral:rRNA from 1 species